rnacentral:rRNA from 1 species
AACGAACGCUGGCGGCAGGCUUAACACAUGCAAGUCGAGCGCCCCGCAAGGGGAGCGGCAGACGGGUGAGUAACGCGUGGGAAUCUACCCAUCUCUACGGAAUAACGCAUGGAAACGUGUGCUAAUACCGUAUACGUCCUUCGGGAGAAAGAUUUAUCGGAGAUGGAUGAGCCCGCGUUUGAUUAGCUAGUUGGUGGGGUAAAGGCCUACCAAGGCGACGAUCCAUAGCUGGUCUGAGAGGAUGAUCAGCCACACUGGGGCUGAGACACGGCCCAGACUCCUACGGGAGGCAGCAGUGGGGAAUAUUGGACAAUGGGCGCAAGCCUGAUCCAGCCAUGCCGCGUGAGUGAUGAAGGCCCUAGGGUUGUAAAGCUCUUUCACCGGUGAAGAUAAUGACGGUAACCGGAGAAGAAGCCCCGGCUAACUUCGUGCCAGCCGCCGCAGUAAAAC